rnacentral:rRNA from 1 species
AUUGAACGCUAGCGGGAUGCUUUACACAUGCAAGUCGAACGGCAGCGCGGACUUCGGUCUGGCGGCGAGUGGCGAACGGGUGAGUAAUGUAUCGGAACGUGCCCAGUAGCGGGGGAUAACUACGCGAAAGCGUAGCUAAUACCUCAUACGCCCUACGGGGGAAAGCAGGGGAUCGUAAGACCUUGCACUCUUGGAGCGGCCGAUAUCGGAUUAGCUAGUUGGUGAGGUAACGGCUCACCAAGGCGACGAUCCGUAGCUGGUUUGAGAGGACGACCAGCCACACUGGGACUGAAACACGGCCCAGACUCCUACGGGAGGCAGCAGUGGGGAAUUUUGGACAAUGGGGGCAACCCUGAUCCAGCCAUCCCGCGUGUGCGAUGAAGGCCUUCGGGUUGUAAAGCACUUUUGGCAGGAAAGAAACGUCGCGGGCUAAUACCCCGUGGAACUGACGGUACCUGCAGAAUAAGCACCGGCUAACUACGUG